rnacentral:rRNA from 1 species
UAACUACGUGCCAGCAGCCGCGGUAAUACGUAGGGCGCAAGCGUUGUCCGGAAUUAUGGGGCGUAAAGAGCUCGUAGGCGGCUUGUCACGUCGGAUGUGAAAGCCCGGGGCUUAACCCCGGGUCUGCAUUCGAUACGGGCAGGCUAGAGUUCGGUAGGGGAGAUCGGAAUUCCUGGUGUAGCGGUGAAAUGCGCAGAUAUCAGGAGGAACACCGGUGGCGAAGGCGGAUCUCUGGGCCGAUAGUGACGCUGAGGAGCGAAAGCGUGGGGAGCGAACAGGAUUAGAUACCCUGGUAGUCCACGCCGUAAACGUUGGGAACUAGGUGUGGGGCGACAUUCCACGUCGUCCGUGCCGCAACUAACGCAUUAAGUUCCCCGCCUGGGGGAGUACGGGCCGCAAGGCUUAAAACUCAAAAGGAAUUUGACGGGGGGCCCCGCACCAAGCGGGCGGGAGCAUUGUGGGCUUUAAUUCGAACCGCAACCGCGAAGAAACCUUACCAAGGCUUGACAUACACCGGAAACGUCUGGAGACAGGCGCCCCCUUGUGGUCGGUGUACAGGUGGUGCAUGGCUGUCGUCAGCUCGUGUCGUGAGAUGUUGGGUU